rnacentral:rRNA from 1 species
GAUGAACGCUGGCGGCGUGCCUAAUACAUGCAAGUCGAGCGAACAGACGCGGCGUUUGCUCCUCAGACGUUAGCGGCGGACGGAUGAGUAACACGUGGAUAACCUACCUAUAGGACGGGGAUAACUUCGGGAAACGGGAGCUAAUACCGGAUCAUAUAUUGAACCGCAUGGUUCCAUAGUGAAAGACGGUUUUGCUGUCACUUAUAGAUGGAUCCGCGCCGCAUUAGCUAGUUGGUCAGGUAAAGGCUUACCAAGGCACCGAUGUGUAGCCGACCUGAGAGGGUGAUCGGCCACACUGGAACUGAGACACGGUCCAGACGCCUACGGGAGGCAGCAGUAGGGAAUCUUCCGCAAUGGGCGAAAGCUUGACGGAGCAACGCCGCGUGAGUGAUGAAGGUCUUCGGAUCGUAAAACUCUGUUAUUAGGGAAGAACAAAUGUGUAAGUAACUAUGCACGUCUUGACGGUACCUAAUCAGAAAGCCACGGCUAACUACGUG